CGUCGACGCUGGCGGCGUGCCUAAUACAUGCAAGUCGAGCGGACAGAUGGGAGCUUGCUCCCUGAUGUUAGCGGCGGACGGGUGAGUAACACGUGGGUAACCUGCCUGUAAGACUGGGAUAACUCCGGGAAACCGGGGCUAAUACCGGAUGGUUGUCUGAACCGCAUGGUUCAGACAUAAAAGGUGGCUUCGGCUACCACUUACAGAUGGACCCGCGGCGCAUUAGCUAGUUGGUGAGGUAACGGCUCACCAAGGCAACGAUGCGUAGCCGACCUGAGAGGGUGAUCGGCCACACUGGGACUGAGACACGGCCCAGACUCCUACGGGAGGCAGCAGUAGGGAAUCUUCCGCAAUGGACGAAAGUCUGACGGAGCAACGCCGCGUGAGUGAUGAAGGUUUUCGGAUCGUAAAGCUCUGUUGUUAGGGAAGAACAAGUGCCGUUCAAAUAGGGCGGCACCUUGACGGUACCUAACCAGAAAGCCACGGCUAACUACGUGCCAGCAGCCGCGGUAAUACGUAGGUGGCAAGCGUUGUCCGGAAUUAUUGGGCGUAAAGGGCUCGCAGGCGGUGUCUUAAGUCUGAUGUGAAAGCCCCCGGCUC
rnacentral:rRNA from 1 species